rnacentral:rRNA from 1 species
UACGUAGGGGGCAAGCGUUGUCCGGAAUUAUUGGGCGUAAAGAGCGCGUAGGCGGUCCGAUAAGUCGGCUGUGAAAGUCCAGGGCUCAACCCUGGAAAGCCGGCCGAUACUGUCGGACUAGAGUCCGGAAGAGGCGAGUGGAAUUCCCGGUGUAGCGGUGAAAUGCGUAGAUAUCUGGAGGAACACCGGUGGCGAAGGCGGCAUCCUGGACCGAUAUUGACGCUGAGGAGCGAAAGCCAGGGGAGCAAACGGG